ensembl:misc_RNA Metazoa_SRP Metazoan signal recognition particle RNA
GCCAGGCAUGGUGGCGCAUGCCUGUAAUCCCAGCUACUCAGGAGGCUGAGGCUGGAGAAUCGCUUGAACCCAGGAGGCAGAGGUUGCAGUGACCCAAGAUCGUGCCACUGCACUCCAGCCUGGGCGACAGAGUGAGACUCGGUCUCCA